UACGUAGGGGGCUAGCGUUGUCCGGAUUUAUUGGGCGUAAAGAGCUCGUAGGCGGCUUGUCGCGUCGACUGUGAAAACCCGCGGCUCAACUGUGGGCUUGCAGUCGAUACGGGCAGGCUAGAAUUCGGUAGGGGAGACUGGAAUUCCUGGUGUAGCGGUGAAAUGCGCAGAUAUCAGGAGGAACACCGGUGGCGAAGGCGGGUCUCUGGGCCGAUAUUGACGCUGAGGAGCGAAAGCGUGGGGAGCGAACAGG
rnacentral:rRNA from 1 species